AUGCAGUACUACUUAUUACUUCCUGCAUAGCUACUUGUUAACUACGGACCAUUAUUUUAAAGUGUUAACGAAAAUCCUCAAGACCUUAUCAAGGAGUACCUUGAUAAGCAGCGAGAUGAUUGGGAGGGUGAGCUGGAGCAGUUCACCAUGGCGGUGUAUGUUAUUCGGAAGGAGGGGGGAGAACAUCACGAACCACCGGCUGACAUAGGUGUCGUCAUCGAGGGUGUUAAAGUUUUGAAUGAACUGCCUUCGUUCACAUCAGCUUGUGCCUUGCUUCUCGGGAUGAUAUACAUCAUCAAUCUGGCUUACCCAAAACCGCUUCGUUUUACUUUCGAGGUAUUCCAGAAAGUUCUCUUGCAGCUU